rnacentral:rRNA from 1 species
AGCUUCAGUAGCGUAUAUUAAAGUUGUUGCAUUUAAAAAGCUCGUAGUUGGUGGUUCGCUACUGCCUAGUGUUCGCUUUGCGUGCGUGGGUGUGAGUUGAUACUUGGCUCGUUUUACGAGCUAUAAACACUGUGAGUAAAUUAGAGGGAUCCAAACAGGCUUGGCCAGAAUGUUUCAGCAUGGUAUGGGUUCUCGACUACUUCAGCUUUUUGGCUUCGCUGAUGUCGCUGAAGGACUUGGACCAACUCAAGACAUCCAGAAGCGAAAGCUCUUCUCACAGAUGCUCUUA